AUGUUCAGAAUUAAUUUGUCUAAAGCUUCAGAAAACAGUCCCCCUAAAGUGAGCGUCCUGCCGCCGUCCAGUGAAGAGAUUUCCACAAAGCAAACAGCAACACUGAUGUGUGUGGCCAACAAGGGCUUCCCCUCAGACUGGAGUCUGAACUGGAAGGUGGACGGGAUCAGCAGCAGGUCUCAGUACAGCAGUGUUGCUCUCCUGGAGAAGGACGGUCUGUACAGCUGGAGCAGCAGUCUGACUCUCUCUGAGCAGGAGUGGAGCUCAGUGAUCUCAGUCAGCUGUGAGCUCACACAGAAAGACCAGCGUGAUAAAGUCACUGGAGAAUUGAGGAGAGAUCAGUGUUCACAGUAG